rnacentral:misc_RNA from 1 species
GUGAAUCAUCGAAUUUUUGAACGCAAAUUGCACUUUCUGGUAUUCCGGAAAGUAUGCCUGUUUGAGGGUCAGUUAAAUAAAAAUCGGUGUUGUUGCUGCCUUUCGUGGUGACACGUCGGAAUUGGGUCGUCUUACCUUCGGUUAAGUGACUUAAAUUUUUGCCUGGAUUUCGGAAGGAUUUUAAUUGCUUACGUAAGGUUGAGAUUA